ACUGCCCAGACUCCUACGGGAGGCUGCAGUCGAGGAUAUUUCACAAUGCGCGAAAGCGUGAUGAUGCGACGCCGCGUGGAGGACGAAGGCCUUCGGGUUGUAAACUCCUGUCGUGAGGGAGCAAGUGGGUCUUGCCUAACACGCAAGGCUCUUGAUGGUACCUCAGGAGGAAGCCACGGCAAACUCUGUGCCAGCAGCCGCGGUAAUACAGAGGUGGCGAGCGUUGUUCGGAUUUACUGGGCGUAAAGGGUGCGUAGGCGGCCCCGUGUGUCGGAUGUGAAAGCCCAUGGCUCAACCAUGGAAUGGCAUCCGAAACUGCGGGGCUAGAGUGCAGGAGAGGAGAGUGGAAUUCUUGGUGUAGCGGUGAAAUGCGCAGAUAUCAGGAGGAACACCGGUGGCGAAGGCGGCUCUCCGGAAUGGCACUGACGCUGAAGCACGAAAGCCAGGGUAGCAAAAAGGAUUAGAUACCCUUGUAGUCCUGGCUGUAAACGGUGUACACUUGGUGUGGGAGGCUUUAUCCCCUUCCGUGCCGUAGCUAACGUGAUAAGUGUACCGCCUGGGGAGUACGGUCGCAAGAUUAAAACUCAAAGGAAUUGACGGGGGCCCGCACAAGCGGUGGAGCAUGUGGCUUAAUUCGAUGCAACGCGAAAAACCUUACCUGGGUUCGAAGUGUAACACUGUAUCCUGAUGAAAGUCGGGAGUCAUUUAGUUGGGUGUUACAAAGGUGCUGCAUGGCUGUCGUCAGCUCGUGCCGUGAGGUGUUGGGUUAAGUCCCGCAACGAGCGCAACCCUUGUGUCUAGUUGCCAGCUAGGAGUGAUCCGUAGGGCACUCUAGACAGACUGCCCGUGAUAAGCGGGAGGAAGGUGGGGAUGACGUCAAGUCAGUAUGGCCCUUAUGUCCAGGGCUGCACACGUGCUACAAUGGCCGGUACAGAGGGAUGCAAGACCGCGAGGUGGAGCAAAUCCCAAAAACCGUCCUCAGUUCAGAUUGCAGGCUGCAACUCGCCUGCAUGAAGCUGGAAUCGCUAGUAAUGGCGCAUCAGCUACGGCGCCGUGAAUACGUUCCCGGGCCUUGUACACACCGCCCGUCACAUCAUGAAAGCCGUCUGCACCCGAAGUAGCCGAUCCAACCCGCAAGGGAGGUAGGCUCCGAAGGUGUGGGUGGUGAUUGGGAUGAAGUAACAAGGUAGCCGUAGG
rnacentral:rRNA from 1 species